AAGUCGAGCGGAUGACGGGAGCUUGCUCCUUGAUUCAGCGGCGGACGGGUGAGUAAUGCCUAUGAAUCUGUCUGGUAGUGGGGGACAACGUUUCGAAAGGAACGCUAAUACCGCAUACGUCCUACGGGAGAAAGCAGGGGACCUUCGGGCCUUGCGCUAUCAGAUGAGCCUAGGUCGGAUUAGCUAGUUGGUGGGGUAAUGGCUCACCAAGGCGACGAUCCGUAACCGGUCUGAGAGGAUGAUCAGUCACACUGGAACUGAGACACGGUCCACACUCCUACGGGAGGCAGCAGUGGGGAAUAUUGGACAAUGGGCGAAAGCCUGAUCCAGCCAUGC
rnacentral:rRNA from 1 species